GUCUGAGGAUGACUUUAGAAUGUUUUGACCUGCUUCUCACUCGCUCCUCUGACUGCAAGCAAAUCAUGAAAAAAAUUGUGUUAUUCUAACUACCUUUACAUCCAGUCAUUUCAUUCAACAGUGCAAUUCAAAAGACGGCAUUAGAUGAAAAGCCCAAACUGGGAUUUCUUUUCCUCCUGGCCCCAUUUGGCUCUAUUAUCUGUAUUGAUAUAAACCCCAAUGAAAUGAUCACAAAGAUAGUCUGUCUGACACUCUUGACUCGCCCAUCCUGAUAAGAGACUGUGGGGCUUUAACCGGCCAGCACAGCCAAUGGGAUAAAGCCAAGGUUUUCAGUUGUUACUGCAAGGGUCCUCCUGCUAGGCCCUGUUUUCUCUUUUUUAUCACAUGUGUAAACCCAUUUCCUUAAAUGCCCCCUAACUACACACCCACAUCCACCUAUACACAUCCACACACAGACCAUCACAUGUGUUGAGUGCAUGACAGUAGGAAAGCCCCAAACACAGCGCUAUCUCUGUUUAUGCCAGUGGACUUUCUUCGGUGCACUAUGGAGCUUCAUGGCUAAAGAUAUGUUACACAACGCUUCAAGAAAUCAUGCAGUUGCAACUACGACUCCGCUCACACAGGUAAGAUUCAUCCACAGAGCUGUGAGCUUCUCUACUCAGCGUUCCAUUUUGAGCAUGUCACACUUUCUUCUCUCUCCCAAGGAUUGAAGAGUUGCGAUGAAGGUGUCGGCAGCAGUCGUGCUGGUUUUGAUCAGUGCGGCUUGCCAUGGCUAUGAGGAGCAUGUGGCCCUGGAGAACAGCCUAUUAGAAGCCUGGGGACUGGACGAGACUGACCCCUGGGAUUCCCUGAGGGGGUUAGGGGCUGAGGUGCACCGAGCAUUUACACAUGCAUUGGCCGGUGAUGUCAGGAACGAGAUCUCUGGGGGGGUUGACACGGCCGUCCGCUUUGGGAUGUCCAUGUUGAACGACGCAAGAGAUACGGGGGAGAGCGUGUGGGAGCAGAUCUCGGAGGAGGCGGAAAAGCUGGCCAGUCAGCUGGAGGAGGACAUGAGCCGCCGGUUGGAGGCCAUCGAGAGUCACGCCGAGGCCUACACUCAGGAGGCGCGCAGGAAGAUCGACCAGAAUCUACUGGAGAUCCAGAAGAACACCAUCCCUGUGGUCCAGACCUUCCAGGGCCAGCUGGCCCAGACGGCGCUGAAUAUCCGCACGAGCGCCGAGUUCUUUAUCGGAGAGUUUGCGUCACUCUGGGAACCUGCUCUACAACAAGAUUAA
rnacentral:lncRNA from 1 species